GUGCUCACUCCGGCAGCACAUAUACUAAAAUUGGAAUGAUACAGAGAUUAGCAUGGCCCCUGCGCAAAGAUGACACACAAAUUUGUGAAGCGUUCCAUAUUUUU
rnacentral:snRNA from 1 species